GUUCCCAGAUUGCAGUUGGCCUCUGAAGUGGGGGCAAUCCUGUGAGACUGAGCCCUUAACCUAUAGGAUGUGACUCUAACUCUAGGUAGAUAUUACCAGAACUGAAUUGAAUUAUAGGCCUGGAACUUUCGAGCUCACCCCACCAUCCUUUUGAAAGAGGAGAGAAGCUGGAGAUUGAGUUAAUGCUCGGUCAUGCCUUCUUGAAAAAGCCUCCAUAAAAAUCCCUAAACAAUGAAUUGGGAGACCUAUGGACUGCUGAACACAUGGAGAAGCUGAGAGGGGUAGCAUCUCCUGGCGAAGUAUGAAAGUUCCAGUCUUCAAAUCAUGGCUUAGUCUUUCUGGUUACCAGCCUCCAUUCAGAUGCCCACCAAAAGUUGCCUCAUUAGAACAAGAGGCACUCCUAUCAUCCAGGAAAUUUCAAGGGAUUGGAAGCUCUGUGCCACCAGAGACACCCAGUUGAUGUUUGCUGGAGAAUUAGUAUGUGGGGAAAAAUAAAUCCUACCCAUCUGGUGUCAGAAGUGAGGAACUGAGAAUGAGUGAGGUCAGCAACAGGGAAGUUGGAGAGAUUCAAACUAUGAUUGCAAUUCGACAAGGGAGAGUUUUUCCACCACGGGCUUUGAAGAUGGAGAGGACCACAUGGCAAAGAAUGCAGAUGGCCUCUGGAAGCUGAAAGUGCCCUUGGCCAACAACCAGCAAGGAAACAGGAACCAGAGUCUUACAAUAAAAAGGGCUUAAAAUAACACAAAUUUAUGAUAGCACAGCUUCUGUAGAUGAGAUGUACUAACGACGUGAUUGAGUUCUGUGCUCAAGUUAUCAUAAGACUGAAAUCAAGGUGUUGGGUAGGCUGAGUCCUUCUACGGAGACUGGGAACAAUCCACUUCUCAACGCAUUCUGGUGGCAUUUAGGGAUAAGCUGGUUUAUCCAGGCCAGCUUCACAGAAGAUGAAUAUAGUUCCAUUUCAGUUAUUAGAGACCUACCCAAAGAUUUAGAAGAAUGUUUGAUUAUUUGAAAGCAUUUUAAAACUAUUCAUUCAACAAGGAAAAGUUGAAAAAGAGUUCAGUACCUAUCAUGUAAAUUAUUAAGGUUGGUGCAGAAGUAAUUAGCAAAAACCGCAAAUACUUUUGCACCAACCUAAUAAUUAACUCAUGAGGAAUGGUAAAAGUGAGUAAGCUUUUUAGUUAAGAAAACUGGAUUUAUAGAGUUAUUCUAGCUGUGUUCUAUUCAAUUAUUACCUUGAUUUCUUUCAUUCUUUCUUUGGUUAUAAUAUGAAAGCAAUUACUAUAUUAAUUAUUUCACAGGGUUGUUAGUAGGACCAAAUUUAUUAAAAUAUACAAAGGACUUCACAAACUGGAAAAUAUUUUACAGAUUUGUAAUUAUAAUUAUUACUGGAUCUAGUCAUAGUUAUUUGUCUGCAAACCAUAAAUUAUCUCAGUGCAUUCAAAUUAACCUGGUUGUGAAGAUUUAAAAUUUUUUACUUUAUUUCCAGUUUUAAUAAACAGCAUACUGAAAAUAGUGCCACAGGCACAUCAUAAAACUAACUACAAAGUAAACAGUUCAGGCCAGGGGUGGUGGCUCACGCCUAUAAUCCCAGCACUUUGGGAGGCCAAGGUGGGUGGAUCACCUGAGGUCAGAAGUUCCAGACCAGCCUGGCCAACAUGGUGAAACGCUCUCUCUACUAAAAAUACAAAAAUUAGCUGGACAUGGCAGCGCACACCUGUAAUCUCAGCUAUUCAGGAGGCUGAGGCAAGAGAAUCACUUGAACCUGUGGGGCAGAGGUUACGGUGAGCUGAGAUGGUGCCACUUCACUCCAGCCUGGGCCACAGAGCCAUCUAAAAAAAAAAAAACAAACAAACAAAAACGAGUUCAGACGACCAAUUGGUAUUGUAUGUCAGGCACACUUGUAGCUCCUGAAACAUAGCAAUGGACACAAAACGUAAAACUAUUUGUGUUGACAGAGUUUUCAUUUCAAGAGGGAGCAACUUGAUCUUGUCCCACUGGAAGUUCUUCAGAGGCAGUAACAUGCACGGGGCUGUCAUCACUUAUGAUAACAAUACCUUCUUCUG
rnacentral:lncRNA from 10 species